rnacentral:rRNA from 1 species
AUUGAACGCUGGCGGCAUGCUUUACACAUGCAAGUCGAACGGUAACAGGCCGCAAGGUGCUGACGAGUGGCGAACGGGUGAGUAAUGCAUCGGAACGUGCCCAGUCGUGGGGGAUAACUACUCGAAAGAGUAGCUAAUACCGCAUACGAUCUAUGGAUGAGAGCGGGGGACCGUAAGGCCUCGCGCGAUUGGAGCGGCAGAUGUCAGAUUAGGUAGUUGGUGGGGUAAAGGCUGACCAAGCCAACGAUCUGUAGCUGGUCUGAGAGGACGACCAGCCACACUGGGAGUGAGACACGGCCCAGACUCUUACGGGAGGCAGCAGUGCGGAAUUUUGGACAAUGGGGGCAAGCCUGAUCCAGCAAUGCCGCGUGCAGGAAGAAGGCCUUCGGGUUGUAAACUGCUUUUGUACGGAACGAAACGGCUCUGGUUAAUACCCGGGGCUAAUGACGGUACCGUAAGAAUAAGCACCGGCUAACUACGUG